GUUAUGUCUGGAAAGAUAGAAAUAAAAUGACUACAAUUUUGGGUAUUCACUUAAUUUUGUUAGGUCUAGGUGCUUUUCUUCUAGUACUCAAGGCUCUUUAUUUUGGCGGUGUAUAUGAUACCUGGGCCCCUGGGGGGGGAGAUGUAAGAAAAAUUACCAAUUUGACCCUUAGUCCCAGUGUUAUAUUUGGUUAUUUACUAAAAUCUCCUUUUGGUGGAGAAGGGUGGAUUGUUAGUGUAGAUGAUUUAGAAGAUAUAAUUGGUGGGCAUGUAUGGUUGGGUUUUAUUUGUGUAUUUGGCGGAAUUUGGUAUAUUUUAACCAAACCCUUCGCAUGGGCUCGUCGUGCAUUUGUAUGGUCUGGAGAAGCUUACUUGUCUUAUAGUUUAGCUGCUUUAUCUGUGUUUGGUUUUAUCGCUUGUUGUUUUGUAUGGUUCAAUAAUACAGCUUAUCCGAGUGAGUUUUAUGGACCCACCGGGCCAGAAGCUUCUCAAGCUCAAGCAUUUAAUUUUCUUGUUAGACACCAGCGUCUUGGAGCUAAUGUGGAUCUGCUCAAGGACCCACAGGUUUAG
rnacentral:rRNA from 1 species